CCUACGGGAGGCAGCAGUAGGGAAUAUUGCUCAAUGGGGGAAACCCUGAAGCAGCAACGCCGCGUGGAGGAUGAAGGUUUUAGGAUUGUAAACCACUGUCCCCAGGGACGAAAAUGACGGUACCUGGGGAGGAAGCUCCGGCUAACUACGUGCCAGCAGCCGCGGUAAUACGUAGGGAGCGAGCGUUGUCCGGAAUUACUGGGUGUAAAGGGAGCGUAGGCGGGGAUGCAAGUUGGGUGUCAAAACUACCGGCUCAACUGGUAGUCGCACUCAAAACUGCAGCUCUUGAGUGAAGUAGAGGCAGGCGGAAUUCCUAGUGUAGCGGUGAAAUGCGUAGAUAUUAGGAGGAACACCAGUGGCGAAGGCGGCCUGCUGGGCUUUUACUGACGCUGAGGCUCGAAAGUGUGGGGAGCAAACAGGAUUAGAUACCCGUGUAGUC
rnacentral:rRNA from 1 species